AGAGAAAUGAGAUUUUUCAGAUAACUGAAGUCUUCAUAAAUUGUUUUAGAUCCAAGAAGUGUUCUACUUUGCUCAGAAGGCUAUCCUUCACUCUACAACACCUCUGUUUGAUCAAGAAACCCAAGCUUUAAGACCAUGAUGCAUGAGAGCGCUUAAAAGGAUAUUUUUCUUUGUGAUCUUGAUAUGGAUGGUGCUCUCAAUGAUGACGAGCUAAAUGAAUUUUGAGUAUUUUUAUUUUUCUUUAUAUCUAAAACUUGAUGAUAAGUUUUCUACUUUACAUUUCUUUAACUCUAUCUAAUUUCUUUUACUUAGGUGAAGUGCUUCAGUUCUCCUUUACAACCUGCUGAAGGAACUUGGUCUUACCUUGACAGGUUUUCUUUUUCUUCACGCUCUUUUUAUAGAGAAAGGACAAAUCGAUACCACAUGGACUCUUUUGAAAAAGUUCAGGAUGGAGUUCUUCGGGAAAAUGAGCUUGAAGAUCUAUUUUUAACUGCACUAUAAGGUGAUGGGAUCGUGGGGUCAAAUUCGUUCAACUGGGGGAAUUAUGCCUGCAAUUUUGACUGCUCGUAGAAGGGCCAAGGCAGAUUUGAAGGGACUUAAGGAAUGUUGGGGACGUCUACUACUGAUCGAUAUCAAAGGGCACCAGUGAGUAACUACAAAUGAGAAAAAUGUCUGAAUUAUGUAUCCAAUCUGAUGAAAUAUUCAUCAGCUAGUUAAGAGGUCAUAUUUGGAGAUACCGUUCAGUUAUGGUGCUAUUUGGUGUGCCCUCAGUUGAAGCAGCUACGGACUUGGGUAGGGAGGCUGCUUAUUAUGUUAGUGGCACUUUCAUCAGGGUACAUUAGGGUGUACUCUUAUUUUGCUGCUUUAUCAGUUUGGACUAUAAAGGGGAGCUUGCUGAGGAAUUGAAGCGCGUGUACUGUUGACUUAUGCAUGCGAUCAGCCUCCGACACUGAAUUGCCUCAGUACAUUCUGGCUCCAUGGGCUUCGAAGAUCAGAGCCCCGGUAAUUGUGGCUGGUUGCUAGCUCGAUAGGUGAGAUGAAGAGCACAAUUUGAGUGUUGAAAUGUUGCCUCUUAUGGAGCAGUUUCGGGAGAUUAAACUUGCAUAGAAUGUACUGCAGCUAAUAUGCUCCAGAUCCAAGAAGUGUUCUACUUUGCUCAAAAGGCCAUCCUUCGCUCUACAACACCUCUGUUUGAUCAAGAAACCCAAGGUUUAAGACCAUGAUGCAUGAGAGCGCUUAAUAGGAUAUUUUUCUUUGUGAUCUUGAUAUGGAUGGUGCUCUCAAUGAUGACAAGCUAAAUGAAUUCCAGGUGAAGUGCUUCAUUUCUCUUUUACUUAGGUGAGAAAAGUUGCCUGAAGGGGUGAAGGAACUUGGUCUUACCUUUGCAGGGUUUCUUUUUCUUCACGCUCUUUUUAUAGAGAGAGGACGAAUUGAGACCACAUGGACUGUUUUGAGAAAGUUCGGAUACAAUGAUGUGCUAAAACUUGGGGAUGAUUAUUUAUCCUUUCCCAAGUCCCCAGAUCAGCUUGCAGAGUGUUGAAUAUAUAGUGAAGCAAGCAGUAGAGUUUCUAAAGGGAAUCUUCAGCACAUUCGAUGAUGAUGAAGAUGGAGUUCUUUGGGAAAAUGAGCUUGAAGAUCUAUUUUUAACUGCACCAGAAAGGUGGCGCAUUUAAAAUCAUACAGAUAAGUUGAUCCAAGAUAGCAUGUUUAAAGUUCUACUGAUGAAGAGUCAGAAGAAGGCUGAAGCUGAGGUAAAGCAUUAGAGGAGCAUUUGUGAGUUGUUUUGGUUCUACUCUGAGUCGCCUGAUGAGGAGGCAUCGUGCUCAAUGUGUAGACAGUUCGGCUCUUGAGCUCUUGUCAUCUUUAAAGAAGAGAAAACGCCUGGCUGCUCUGUGUUACUUUUUUUUUUUUUUGGCUUGAAAUGCUGUUCAAAGACUAGGUAUCUCUAAUUUGUAAACUUUUGGAUCCUUGAUUAAGCUGAUUUUAUCUCAAUAUUUCA